rnacentral:rRNA from 1 species
CGCUGGCGGCAGGCCUAACACAUGCAAGUCGAACGCCCCUUCGGGGGAGUGGCGGACGGGUGAGUAACGCGUGGGAAUGUGCCCUUUGGUACGGAACAACUGAGGGAAACUUCAGCUAAUACCGUAUGUGCCCUUCGGGGGAAAGAUUUAUCGCCAUUGGAGCAGCCCGCGUUGGAUUAGGUAGUUGGUGGGGUAAAGGCCUACCAAGCCUACGAUCCAUAGCUGGUCUGAGAGGAUAAUCAGCCACACUGGGACUGAGACACGGCCCAGACUCCUACGGGAGGCAGCAGUGGGGAAUCUUGCGCAAUGGGCGAAAGCCUGACGCAGCCAUGCCGCGUGUAUGAUGAAGGUCUUAGGAUUGUAAAAUACUUUCACCGGGGAAGAUAAUGACGGUACCCGGAGAAGAAGCCCCGGCUAACUUCGUGCCAGCAGCCGCGGUAAUACG